rnacentral:rRNA from 1 species
GACGAACGCUGGCGGCGUGCCUAAUACAUGCAAGUUGAGCGCUGAAGGUUGGUACUUGUACCAACUGGAUGAGCAGCGAACGGGUGAGUAACGCGUGGGGAAUCUGCCUUUGAGCGGGGGACAACAUUUGGAAACGAAUGCUAAUACCGCAUAAAAACUUUAAACACAAGUUUUAAGUUUGAAAGAUGCAAUUGCAUCACUCAAAGAUGAUCCCGCGUUGUAUUAGCUAGUUGGUGAGGUAAAGGCUCACCAAGGCGAUGAUACAUAGCCGACCUGAGAGGGGGAUCGGCCACAUUGGGAGUGGGACACGGCCCAAACUCCUACGGGAGGCAGCAGUAGGGAAUCUUCGGCAAUGGACGAAAGUCUGACCGAGCAACGCCGCGUGAGUGAAGAAGGGUGUCGGAUCGUAAAACUCUGUUGGUAGAGAAGAACGUUGGUGAGAGUGGAAAGCUCAUCAAGUGACGGUAACUACCCAGAAAGGGACGGCUAACUACGUG